AAACUAAAAAAAUAUUAUAAGUGAUGUGUUGUGCUGUGACGGAAUUGUACAUUAUCCAGGCUGAAACGGACCAACCAACAACAACAAAAACAAACCUCAUUCGGAUGAGAGGUAGGGAUGUGUCCGUUCGGCACUGGACGGUUUUGGACGGACGGAUUAUUGACAAUUGAAGCGGACUAUAAUGAUGAUUCGAAUGAUGUCGCAUGCAGCUGGACUGGAAGUAAAUAUGGACUUCGGCAUGAUACCGGAACGAUUUGGCGGGACAGACGCCGGACGGACUGCUGCCUUGGUGACUCGGAAUUGCCUCAAACGGCCUAU